GAGCCCGAAGGAAAAGCCCGCGCCUCCGCCCUCCCGCCUUCAGGACGCGGCGGGGCGGGGCCGCGGCAUCGAUCACUCGGCGCUCCUCUCGGCCCUGCCUCGAGAUCAGAAGAGCCGGGAGUGAUCGAUACUCCUCGUGCAAGCCUCUGUCACCGAGCAGCAGAACGCAGGAGGGUUCGAACGGAAAGGAACAAAUCGUGGCCGUCCCCGGCCGACUCGACACCGCCCACACGCGAGACAGGUCAGCCAGAGCAACCGGAGGGGGCAGGCCCUCUGGCUCCUUAGAAGCGGAGGGAGGCACGGCACUAAGUUCUCUUACGGCGAGAAGGACGAAAGGACGGCCUCGCGCGUGCGCUUUGGAAAGCCCCGCGGCGGCUCUUCAAAGCAGCGACACCGCGGGGGCCUGGGGAGGGAGAAUAGAGCCGGCGCAUGCGCUCUGAGAUUGCCCUUUAGCUGCUCACAACUCUAGUGCGCGGCCGGGGACAGAAGUACUCAUCAGACUGAGCCGAUGGCAGAAGAUAUCAACCGAGACCCCCUGGCAGGAACGGGUGCUCUGUGGGAGGCCCUCCUGGCACUCCUGCCCCGCACUAAAGAAGAACUGAAGUUGGACCUCAGUGAGAAGGUGGAGAGGAGCGUAGUGAUGCUGCUACAGGAAGCCACUGAGCUCUUCUAUGGGGGCCGAAGGAGUGAGUGUCUGCAGACCAGUGAGGCAGUCCUCGACUAUUCCUGGGAGAAACUCAACACAGGGCCUUGGCAAGACGUGGACAAAGACUGGCGUCGGGUUUAUGCCUUUGGCUGCCUUCUGAAAGCUGCAUGUCUGUGCGAGGCAUCUGAGGAUGCUACCACUGUGGCUGCAGCCCUGAAAGUCUGUGACAUGGGCCUGCUGAUGGGGGCGGCCAUCCUUGGGGACAUCCUCAUUAAAGUCGCUGCCAUCCUCCAGACUCACCUUCUCUCGAGAAAAAGGCCUGCCCAGGGCCCAACCCAGGAGCAGCCCAGCACAAAGAAAGCAAGGAAUGAGCAUGUUUCAAUUCCAGAUAUGAAGUCGGAGAGAACAGUGCCCCGGCUCCACUGUCCGUCGCUGCAGUAUUUCAGGAAGCAUUUCUUGGUUCCGGAGAGGCCCGUGAUCCUGGAAGGCGUGGCCGACCACUGGCCGUGCAUGAAGAAGUGGAGUUUGGAGUAUAUCCAAGAAGUGGCUGGCUGCCGGACUGUCCCAGUGGAAGUCGGUUCCAGGUACACGGACGAAGAGUGGUCCCAGACACUCAUGACGGUCAAUGAGUUCAUCAGCAAAUACAUUGUUGACGAGCCGAGGGACGUGGGGUACCUUGCUCAGCACCAGCUCUUUGACCAGAUCCCGGAGCUGAAGCAAGACAUCAGCAUCCCUGAUUACUGCUGCCUGGGCGACGGGGAGGAAGACGAGAUCACCAUUAACGCCUGGUUUGGUCCCCAGGGCACGGUCUCCCCACUGCAUCAGGACCCCCAGCAAAACCUCCUAGUCCAGGUGAUUGGGAGGAAAUACAUCCGGCUGUAUUCCCCACAGGAGUCAGAGGCCUUAUAUCCUCAUGAUACGCACCUUCUUCAUAACACAAGCCAGGUUGACGUGGAGCAUCCCGACUUGGAGAAGUUCCCCCAGUUUGCCGAGGCCCCAUUCCUGUCCUGCAUCCUUUCUCCUGGAGAGGUCCUGUUUAUCCCUGUGAAAUACUGGCAUUAUGUGCGGGCCCUGGAUUUGAGCUUCUCAGUCAGCUUUUGGUGGUCGUAGCCAGGCUGGAAGAGGGAAGGGCUGAUGUGUGUGCAGCAUUGUGGAGUCACACAUUUGCUGCGCUGGGCCUGGAAUCGAGACCACUGAUUGAGCCUGUGCCCUGAGGAAGCCCUCUGUGGGGCCUGAGCUCGGGCUCUAGGCAGACACAGGGCGAGGAGCACCCAGGCAGGGGCCUGCUCCAGCCCAGGUGUGUGGCAGAGGCAGGCGGGCAAGACUCCAGAAGGACAUUCAGGCCCACAACCCACGUGGAGACUCGUGGACUCUGAGGUUGGCUGCCUGGAUUCACACCUGGCCCCAUCACUUAAUUGCUGUGUGGUUUGGGGCAAGAAAUGUCACCGUGUGUCUCUCCAGCAGGCAAACAGAGCAGCGGCAGGGCCUCACCACAGAGGGUUCGCGAGGCGGUGCGUCGGCAGAGCGCUCCACAGUGCCAGCUGCUGUCACUGAGCUGAGUAACUAGGGUGAUGGUUACAUACUUUUCUGUCAUGACUGGGCCUGUCAGGACAGCCACAACCUACAGACUCUGGAGAGAGGUGGACGUGGCUGCGGUCACAGGGGAGGGUCCUUCUCUGCUUGCUCAGCUCAGACCUCUGCUGGGCAGUGGGAGUCUUGGGGGGACUUCUGCCGUUGUCCUCACUGAAGUGUAGCCUGCCUGCAGAGAGAUCCGUGGAUCUUCUAGCCUGAGGAAUUUGCCGCCGUACCCCUCCCUGUGACCUGUGCCCGAGUGCGGAAACAGAACCCCCACCGGCCCCGAGAAGGCCUGCUCCUGCCCCUCAGUGUCUGCACCCCGCAAGGGUCAGCACUCUCCAGAAGAGGGUUUCAGGCCCGAAGAGACCCAGGCGUCCGGCUCUCCAUGAGCGUGUUUGUUUUGUUUGUGUUUGACCAAGACGACUUUCCCCAGCCCUGGACUGGAGACGGCAGGCUAACUCCAACAGCUGCUCGGAGGAGCCCCCGUCCCCCACUGGCUGCAAGAAUCACAAAUUGGCGGACAUUGUUUUUGCUGUUGUCUGAGUUUUGACAACAUUCAUCACACUAAGUGACCAUGAGAACAGCAUUUUGGAGAAUCCCUUCCCCUGGGGCUGCAGCCUUGGCGGGUGCGCAGUGGAAGGAUGAAGGAAACUGCUGGAGUUGAUCUAGGGGGGCAGCAGCGCACACUGUGACUGGGGAACAGGUCUUUCUGCCAGAACCCCCAAGUCCAAGGUCCGUCUUUUCUAGGCUGCUUCUCCUGCCUUUGUCAUGUCGACAAGCUUCCUCACACCCUUCUAAGAAGCCCAUUCUCUGGUGAAGCUGGCUGGGGACGGUUUCCUGUGCUUGCCUGACACACUACAGCCCUUGCCACCCAGUUAGGGACACCCACAGCCCUUCAUCAGUGGGCUUGUGUCUGCCUUCAGGGGCUGGCUCCAGAGGCUUCAGUGAAAGCCUGGGAGGUGGGCAGAGGGCUCGGAACAGGCCUGCGGCUGGAGGGUCAGCGCCCCCCAGCAAGGGUCGUGCAUUCACUACGUCCUAGGCGCCUGCUCCGUGCUGGGUUAUGGAGUAAACCAGGCAGAGUGGCCCUGCCUGCAUGGGUGGAGGCCACCCUGCCCAUUGGUGCCCACAGCUCAUUCCCCUCUGCCUGGGAAUAGCACCUUCAGUUUGCUUAGGGGAACCCCUCACCCUCAGCCACACGGCUUUGGAGGGGCUCCCUAGCCCUGCUCAGAGGUGAGCCCUGAGGAGCCAAUGUCAAGUGGACUAUUCCCAUCGCCACCUCCAUACGUACCCAGGUUGGAGCUGUAAGCCCUGAGCAUGUUGCCAGGGCAGGGGCCACUGAAUGAGACUUGCCCCUCUCCUGACGCCCGUGGGCAGGGUGUGUGAGGCCUGCAAGUACAGCAGCCAUUUUGCUACCACAAAGAAAGUGGCUUAGAUUUUUUGGGAGACCAUCUCAUAGGCCCCAAGCAUGAGGCCAGCUCAAUGGCAACAGAGCAGAGACAGAAGUAUGGAUGCUGGUGACAUCACUGGAACCACUAGGUCAAGCCUCUCCUGAAGGACCCCCUCUGGCCAAGUCCUUCCUUGUUUAAGCCAGUUGGAGUUGGAUUUUCUGCCAUGACCAAAAGGGUCCUGCCUGACACUGGGCUGGAAGAGAGACAGGGAGACAAGAAAUUAAAAUAGCAGGGCAAGUGUGACCAUCAAGGAAGUACAGGGAGGUGGGAGACCAGGAGCUGGAAGUGGUGAUAGCCUAGCCAAGAUCUAAAGGGUGGACAGGUGUUAGCUGGCAGAGGCAGGAGGCAAGAGGGGAGAGCAUGCAGGCAGAGGGAACAAUGUGUGCAAAGGCCUAGAGGUGAGAACAGGAUGUCUCGUUCCAGGACUGAAAGAAACACUGUAGCCUGAGGAGGCGAAAGGGGAGAGGCAGUGAGAUGCGCAGGGGCCUCACCAUCUGGCCUUGUGAACCCUGCGUGUCGAGACCUGAGCCUGUGUGCAGUGGUGGCCACCAGGGUCUUCAGCGGGGGCGCGCCGUGCUGACUGGCAUGGUGGGAAGAUGACUGUGGUGGAAAAGACUGGAGCAGGCAGGCAGGCUGGAGCCAGGAGCAGUGGGAGCUGCUGCAGAGGUGGAGGGGAGACAUGGCCUAGGGCAGCGACUGAGGGCCAUCUGGCAGGUGGACUGCAAGGGAUCUGGACACUGGUGUGAUGCAGGAGGGCCAGGGAGGAGGAGACAUCAGGCUGACUCCCUGGCUCUGGCAGGGGCAGCUGAUGGGCGGGGCUGCCAGUCACCAAGCAGGGGCAGAGGGCCAGUGAGGAGAGCACAGCUCCAGUCCAGCCUGCCAGCCUUGUGCCCACAGGCCAACUGCAUCUGGGGCCAGAGCAGGUUCAGGACUGUGGGGCGUUGGGGAGGCCAAGGCCAAGGCUCUCACAAGUCCAGGUUGGGCUGGCCAGCAUCGAUGGGACAAGUGACCCAGGCUGAGCACUGAAGGCAAGGCUGCCCUGA